rnacentral:rRNA from 1 species
GCAACGCGAAGAACCUUACCAGGCCUUGACAUGCAGAGAACUUUCCAGAGAUGGAUUGGUGCCUUCGGGAACUCUGACACAGGUGCUGCAUGGCUGUCGUCAGCUCGUGUCGUGAGAUGUUGGGUUAAGUCCCGUAACGAGCGCAACCCUUGUCCUUAGUUACCAGCACGUUAUGGUGGGCACUCUAAGGAGACUGCCGGUGACAAACCGGAGGAAGGUGGGGGAUGACGUCAAGUCAUCAUGGCCCUUACGGCCUGGGCUACACACGUGCUACAAUGGUCGGUACAAAGGGUUGCCAAGCCGCGAGGUGGAGCUAAUCCCAUAAAACCGAUCGUAGUCCGGAUCGCAGUCUGCAACUCGACUGCGUGAAGUCGGAAUCGCUAGUAAUCGUGAAUCAGAAUGUCACGGUGAAUACGUUCCCGGGCCUU